AUACUUAUUUUAUCACAACCGAUAGCGUUUGAUUUAAUAUUAUGAAUGUGUUUUGUAAUUGUAGUUUCAUCAACUAUUUGAAGUGAGUGCUGUAGAAUGAUUUUGUGAAUAAUAAUGAUUGAGUAAAAUUGGACUCUAGAUUUUGACAGUUUAUAAUUUUUUUUUUUUUUUUUUAUUAGUAUCUAUAGCAAAAUUUGUACUUAAUGUAUUUAUAAAUUAUGUUAUAUUAAGGUAUUAUAAGGUACAUUAUUUUUUUUUUAGGUAUUAUAAAGUACAUGUUUUUUUUUUCACUGUCCUUCUCACUAGGGUUUCCUGUUCUGAGGCGGCCUGUAGUUUUUCCACAUUUGUAUUUAGUAUCCAGUUGUCUUUAUAUGGUAUUCAGUAUGUUUGAUAGUUCAUUUUCACUUUGUUCUCUCAACCAUAUUUUUACUUUUGUUUUAAAUUUAUUUAUUUCNGACUCGUAUGAGGCUCUGCAAUUCGAAUGAGUACAAUUCAAAUCCUUUAACGAGGAGCAACUGGAGGGCAAGUCUGGUGCCAGCAGCCGCGGUAACUCCAGCUCCAGAAGCGUAUAUUAAAGUUGUUGCAGUUAAAAAGCUCGUAGUUGGAUCUGGGACGCAUGGUUACGUGCCGUCACUUGCAGUUCUGGUCUAGCCCAGGUUGGGCCAGAUUUGUGAAGCGGUUUCGUAGCUGUGUAGCCUUUCUGCCGUGUCUGUUUACAGGUGCUGACGGUCGAUACGUUGGCAUGCUUCUAGAUGCUCUUAACCGGGUGUCGGGAGCGGACGGCAAGUUUACUUUGAACAAAUUUGAGUGCUCAAAGCAGGCCUAUGCCUGAAAAUUCUUGCAUGGAAUAAUGGAAUAGGACUUCGGUUCUAUUUUGUUGGUUUUCGGAUCCGAAGUAAUGGUUAAGAGGGACAGACGGGGGCAUUUGUAUGGCGGUGUUAGAGGUGAAAUUCUAUGAUCAUCGUCCGACAAACUAAAGCGAAAGCAUUUGCCAAGGAUGUUUUCAUUGAUCUGGAGCGAAAGUCAGAGGUUCAAAGACGAUCAGAUACCGUCGUAGUUCUGACCAUAAACGAUACCAACUGACGAUCCGUGGGUGCUCGUUCAUUGACCCCAUGGGCAGUCCCCGGGAAACCUUUAAGUCUUUGGGUUCCGGGGGAAGUAUGGUUGCAAAGCUGAAACUUAAAGGAAUUGACGGAAGGGCACCACCAGGAGUGGAGCGUGCGGUUCAAUUCGACUCAACACGGGAAAUCUCACCCGGUCCGGACACUGUGAGGAUUGACAGAUUGAGAGCUCUUUCUUGAUUCGGUGGUUGGUGGUGCAUGGCCGUUCUUAGUUGGUGGAGCGAUUUGUCUGGUUAAUUCCGAUAACGAACGAGACUUUGGCCUGCUAACUAGUAAGCCUGUCCUCUGCUCUCGCGCGGGCGGCGGUAACCGUCGCCUUUCCGGGUGAUGGUGCCGUACGCCGGCGAGGGCUGCGCAGGUAUAUACUUCUUAGAGGGACAAGCGGUUAUAGCCGCACGAAAUUGAGCAAUAACAGGUCUGUGAUGCCCUUAGAUGUCCGGGGCCACACGUGCGCGACAAUGGCGGUUUCAGCGAGUAUGGCGACCUUGCUCGAAAGAGUUGGGUAAACUGAAUCAUGACCGUCGUAACUGGGAUCGGGGCUUGCAAUUAUUCCCCGUGAACGAGGAAUCCCUGGUAAGUGCAAGUCAUUAGCUUGCGCUGAUUACGUCCCUGCCCUUUGUACACACCGCCCGUCGCUACUACCGAUUGGAUGGUUUAGUGAGGACUUUGGAUCGGCUCUAUUGCAGUUGCUUCGGCAGCUCGACCGGAGCUGAAAAGAUGUCCGAACUUGAUCAUUUAGAGGAAGUAAAAGUCGUAACAAGGUUUCCGUAGGUUAAUAAUAGCCUC
rnacentral:rRNA from 1 species